UCAUCAUUACUAGUUAUUACUCUUUCCAUAUUAGGUGUCAAACCUUAUAAAAAUAUUCAUAUAUCAUUUCGUUUGGUUAUGUUCCUCCGGUCGAUGGAGUCACAUGUAAGUCGUUAGUAAGCAGCGCCACCUUAUUUUCCCUGUCGGAAUUCUCAUCGGAAAUGGCGACAGUUGCACGCACUUGCGUGCCCAAGUUGGAAGCACUGUCUCACAUAGAUAUCAGUAAACUUUCCCAAUCUGAGCUCCACGCACUUUCCCUUUGCUCCGACUCCGCUUACGAUCUCCGGCGUACUAAAGAAGUCGUUAUUCCCCAAAUUGAUCGGUCCCUCUUCAAUGAAUCCGCCGGAAGCCGUCGUCAAACCUAUUCCCGUCUCCGCCACCAGCACCACCGUUCUCGCGUGCCCGGUCUUCACCCUUCAACUUCACAACUCAAACCCCCUUCUACUUCCGAUCCUGAAAAUCACGCAAUUCUUCAUUUUCUUAAGUACUUAAUUCACAAUCCCAAUUCUCAAUCUCCACCGCCGCCGCCACCGCCACCGUUUGUUCCUCCUCCUCCGAUUACACAGUCGGUUACUUCCGGGAUUCAAGAAAAGACCCUACUUUUAAUGAAUGAACAUGACAAAAAGAGGAAGAGAGGACGGAAACCUAAGGAUAACAAGAAGCUGAAAGAGACUGGGGUUAGGAGUGAAGUGGAAAUUGUGAAUAAAAAUGGUGAGGUGGUGGAUUUAAACAAUUUGGAGAAUAAUGGGGAUAAAUUAUACAGUGGAGAAUUGGAGAAAAGGACUGUCGGGUUACAGACUGAAGAAGACGUACUCGGCUUUGUUAGGGAUUUGGAGGGACAGUGGUGUAGCAGAAGGAAGAGGAGGAAAUAUGUUGAUGCUAGUGGAUUUGGUGAUACAUUGCCUAUUGGUUGGAAGCUCUUGCUAGCCUUACGAAGACGGGAUGGUCGAGUUUGGGUUUAUUGUCGUAGAAUUGUGAGCCCUACUGGUCAACAGUUUAUAUCAUGCAAAGAGGCUUCAUCAUACUUGCGGUCCCAUUUUUUGUCUGGUGAAGCAAACCAGCCUACUCAGCAGGUUGAUGACACUGUUGCUAAAAGUGUGAGUAACUUCCACAGUGAUACCAGUUUGGUUUUGUCAACAGAUAUCCAAGAAAAUCCUCGUUCUCUUCAAAAAGGUGAUGUAGCAACGCAUGGCGUAGUUGCACAUACAGCUGUACGCAGUUUAUCUAAUCUAGACCUACAUCUCAGUGAAGUUUGCUUGAUGGAGAUGGAUAAUCUCCCUGAGGUUAAAGUUCAAGACAUUUUCGAAUGUUAUAAAUGCAACUUGACAUUUGAAGAAAAGAAUGCAUAUUUGCAGCAUCUGUUCUCAUUUCACCAGCGGACCACAAGAAGGUACAAGGUUGGGCCAUCUGUUGGUGAUGGGGUCAUAAUUAGAGGUGGAAAAUAUGAAUGCCAGUUCUGUCAUAAGGUAUUUGAAGAACGGCGUAGUUACAAUGGUCAUGUAGGAGUCCAUGUUAGAAACAAUGCUAGAGGAACUGUGGAUGUAGCUGCUGCUGUUGCAGCAAACAAGGGUGUUCAAUCUCCACAUCCUGAUGGGUUGUUUUCAAGGACAUGUAAAAUGGAUGCUUUAAUUGAAAUUGCCCAAAAUGCAGUUGUAGAAACUACUAGUGCUAGACCUGCGACCAAGGGCAGCGGCAUGCCAUCUAGUACUUCAAUGGACUUGGAUGGAAAUAUGGCUACCAACAUUAACCAAGUGGCGUGGUCAAACACUGAUACUGGAUUAUCAGAUACCAAGGAAUUUAAGGCUGAAACAUGUCUUGAACAAGGCAGAAAUCAGCCUGAUAAUGCCUUCACGCAAGUAGAUAAAGAUAAGAGUGGUGAGAUCUUGGCCAACAAGUUCAAUCCGAGAGUGAUCUCCACCAAUGAUUCUGAGCAUCCUGAGGGUGAUAAUGCGAAGAAGGCUGGAAGCAACAAGGUAACGCAGGACCUGGGUAACAAGCAGGCAAAAGAAAAUGAUGAUGUUCAACCAGAGACCAUGGAAUUAACUUUUCAGGAAAUCGCUAGUCAGAAUGCAUUAACUAGCUCUUCAGUCUCUAUGGUGCAGUCGCUGCAUAAUGAUUUAGAGCACUCUAGGGAUGGUGUCGUGAGGAAGGAUGGAACUGAUAAGGUAGCAGUGGGUAAGGGAAACAGCCUGACUAAAGCAAAUGAUGUUGAAUCAGAAACUAUGGAACUGACUUUUCAGGAAAAUGCUACUCUGAAUGGGUUAACCAGCUUCUCGGUGUCUAUGGUGCAACCAUCUCAUAGUGCUUUUGAGCACCCUGAGAGUGAUGACAUGAAGAAUGAUGGGAAUAACCAGCUAUCAGUUUGUCUUGGACACAGCCUGACUAAAGCAAAUAAUGAUGUGGAAUCCGAGACUAUGGAGUUCACUCUUCAGAAAUAUGCUACUCGAGAUGGGCUAGCUGGCUUUUCAACGCCUAUGGUGCAAUCAUUCCACAACUCUACUGGCAUUCUUUCAGGAUCAAGUAAGGACAAUGGCGAAGUUUCUGCUAUUGGUCAGAAUCUGGAUAAUGGAACAGGAUUUGAGGAGCUUAGGCUGGAUGAGAUAGAACCUUUUGAAUACAGCUUUGAUGAUGGUCAUGAAUCUCCAUCUUUACCCGCAACUUCUAUUGGAUUGGGUAAUGAUGCAAGGAUGGAAGAGGCUUUUGCAUCGGUUGGAUUUGAUUCUGGAGGAAUCAUGUUAAACAUGGAAGAAUUGAAUCAACUUUCAACAGUAUGUGUGUGGUGCAGAGCGGAAUUCAAGCUUGAAGCUUAUGAUACAGAAGCUCAUUCAGAUUCAAUUGGAUUUAUGUGUCCAGACUGCAAGGCUAAAAUAUCUGGACAUCUGGAGAGUGUCUUUCCUUGAGUCCUCACGUUUCUGAUUUCCACUGGGACAUCUUGUGGUGCGUGCUUCUCAAUGUCCUGAUACAUGUGAAGUUGCAGGUCUAUUUUCUACCUAAAGAGAUAGCUGUUACAAAGCAUGCAUGCGAUCUUUUCUUAGGAGAUGGAGUUUUAGCUGGUAUACUCAGUUUGCUGUAAAUUCAUCCCCGGAAUAGUGUAGUUUGUUAUAUUCCUCUUUCCGGUAUGUUGAAUUACAGAAGACAGAAGAUGUGUUUCUAUGUAUGAAAUUGAACAGUGUAUAUUCUGGUCAUGUGUAUAUAUCUGUUUAUGUAUGUCACUGGUUAGCUCUAUGAGCCUCUUUAUAAUCUAGUUAUAUCUUGAGAGGGUUACAUCCCCCCCCCCCC